ensembl:lncRNA
GCGGAUGAUAGCUCUCAUAUGGAGACGGAAGAAAAUGUGUUCAAGGUGCCCCAGAGAAAGAGACGGAGAAAUCGUCCUCAUGCACAGGCUAAGAGGAAAGAUGGCGUAGAGGAGCUGAAUUCUGGGGAGGUAGAGAGUGAGAGUGAAGCCUCCGACUGCAGUAUAACAUGUAGUGUAAAUCUAAGUGGCUUUUCGAGCCAUGAAUAUAGCGUGGACGACAUCAAGGUGUUUCUGAGAAAGACUAAGCAUGCUAGGAAUGUG